GAGCACGUAGGUGGGUUUGUAAGUCAGAUGUGAAAGCCUUCUGUUCAACGGAAGAAUUGCAUCUGAAACUGCAAGUCUUGAGUGUAGGAGGGGAGAAUGGAACUUCUGGUGGAGCGGUGAAAUGCGUAGAUAUCAGAAGGAACGCCGGCGGCGAAAGCGAUUCUCUGGCCUAUUACUGACACUCAGUGUGCGAAAGCUAGGGGAGCAAACGGGAUUAGAUACCCCGGUAGUCCUAGCCGUAAACGAUGGGCACUAAGUAGAGGGAAUUACCGAUGUUCUCUCUGCCGUAGCUAACGCAUUAAGUGCCCCGCCUGGGGAGUACGGCCGCAAGGCUAAAACUCAAAAGAAUUGACGGGGGCUCGCACAAGCGGUGGAGCAUGUGGCUUAAUUCGAUGCAACGCGAAAAACCUUACCGGGGCUUGACAUGGUAGAAGUAGGAACCCGAAAGGGUAACGAACGGUAUCCAGUCCGUAGCUAUCACAGGUGUUGCAUGGCUGUCGUCAGCUCGUGUCGUGAGACGUUGGGUUAAGUCCCCUAACGAGCGAAACCCUUGUUUUUAGUUACCAGCGGGUUAUGCCGGGUACUCUAGAAAGACUGCCGUCGUCAAGACGGAGGAAGGUGGGGAUGACGUCAAGUCAUCAUGGCCCUUAUGCCCCGGGCUGCACACGUGCUACAAUGGUCGGUACAAACGGAUGCGAAGCCGAGAGGUGAAGCGAAUCC
rnacentral:rRNA from 1 species